AAGAGGGGGACCUUCGGGCCUCUUGCCAUCUCAUGUGCCCAGAUGGGAUUAGCUAGUAGGUGGGGUAACGGCUCACCUAUGCGACAAUCCCUAGCUGGGCUGAGAGGAUGACCAGCCACACUGGAACUGAGACACGGUCCAGACUCCUACGGGAGGCGGCAGUGGGGAAUAUUGCGCAAUGGGCGCAAGCCUGAUGCANCCAUGCCGCGUGUAUGAAAAAAGCCUUCUGGUUGUAAAGUACUUUCUCCGGGGAGGAAGGUGUUGAGGUUAAUAACCUCGNCGAUUGACGUUACCCGCACAAAAAACACCGGCUAACUCCGUGCCANCAGCCGCGGUAAUACAGAGGGUGCAAGCGUUAAUCGGAAUUACUGGGCGUAAAGCGCACGCACGCGGUCUGUCAAGUCGGAUGUGAAAUCCCCGGGCUCAACCUGGGAACUGCGUUCNAAACUGGCA
rnacentral:rRNA from 1 species